CACAAACACAUUCACGAACAUACACAGGAACACACUCUCACGUAUGCACACACAUGAACCAAUAGACAUAUGCAUGCAUACAAACACGCAUGUGAACACACACAUGCAGGUAUGUAUGCAUACACACAUGUACACAUGCUCACAUGCUCACUCUCCCAUGCAUCCAUACACACAUGCAUGCAUAGGAACACAUAUACAGGCACGCACACACAUACACACACUCACACAUUCAUGUACACUCGCACGUGCACAACAGGUAGGCUUGACCCUGUGCAUUAUAUUGCAUGUUUCUUAGCCCUCUUGCCUUCUCCUGUGGGAUGUCAUGGCCGAUGCACUCUUUCAUAGGUGUCCCCUCUCCAGAUAUGGGCUUCUUAAUCUUGAAUAUCCCAGCAUCCCAAGCAGUACAAAUAUAUCUCCGUUCUUAAAAUACCUUCUGUUUCAUAUAUUCUAGUACAGAAGUACAUAAAAGGGCAAACACAAAUCCCUACUCUUCCUAACUUGCAAAAGACCAUAUGCACUCCUUCGGCUCAAAGAAAAAUCACAUCCUAAUCUUUGAGCUACAAUGAACAUGUAUUCCAUUUAUAUUUGUGCAUGGAACUUUUUCUGUGGUGAUCUUGUUUAGAAGUGACAACUACUUACAUAUGAAGGUAAUUUUAAGUCAAGCUCACAUUCCAGAUCUUAAAAUGGGUAUACUCUCAGGCCUACAAUGGACUUCUGUUUUCUGUCACAGGACUCUGAAAAUAACUGAUUGCUCCAGGUUGAGGUGUUCAUGUGUUUAGAGGGCAUAGAUGUCUCCUGCCCAUUUUAGAAUAUAUGAGGUUUUGAGUGUGGAGUGGUAGACCUUCAUCAAGCCAAGGACUACAUGUUCAAAGCCAGUUACCGUCUAACAUUAUUUUUUUCUCUUUUCCACCGCUUUAUGCAUGUGGCUCAUUUUUAAUUGCUUGGGAUUUGCUUUCUCACAGUAUCUCCACAGUGUCUCUCACAGUGUCUAGAAACCAGAAUAGACAAAGAUAACAAACAAUAAAAAAAUGUAGUGAAAAGAAAUUUACUCCUCUUGACUCAGAAAUAUAACAUUGAAAUACGAUUGGAAGAAAAUAAUUCAUAUAAAGAUUUCAGGGUCCAGGGUAAAUGUGGGGAGUCUGUAUGGGCUAUACACAGCACUUUCUCUCCAAGUUUACAGUUGUUCUUUGCUCUAAAAUCACACAUAUGUGGUUCAGAGAUUCAUUGCUUUCUGGGCGUUCUCAAGUCCCCAGGUUCCAGUCCCCAAUACUCAGUAAAUUAAUAAGUAUGCAUGUUCACUCACAUGUAUGAAUUAAAGUUAUACAAUUCCCUCUUUAAACCACAGUGCUGUCAUCACACUAAUGACAUUUUAAGCAUAAUAGCAAUUUAUCCAGAAAUUAAGUAUUUCGCCAACCUUCAGAAUUCACUGGACCUAUCUCUAUUCUUUUAUUUUCAAUAUUUCUGGAUGCAUCCAGUUCUUAUGAACUCUUUGUCUUCAUGCUGACCCUGCAGCAGUGAGGUUUCCCCGAGACAUUCAUCAGAGGUGUUGACACGUUCCAGUCAGCUCUGCUAUUGGUCCUUUAUGCAACGGUGUUGCUUCUAUUUCUAAAUACAAUUCCCAUUUAUUCUUAUAGCACAUUCAUAUUAUUUGUAAUUACCCUAGAAUAUCAACUAUUUCUGAGGAGAACAACGGUUUGUUUAUUCUCACAAAAGCACUGGACUGGCCCACAUUAACUCCACACUUGUACAUUCUUUCUUCCAAAAAGCAUCCUUCUUGCACACACUUCUUUUAGAUUCUGUGUAUGAAUAACAGCUACCAUUUUUCUUCUUCUAUUCCUACUCAGAUUUCUUUCCUUUCUUUCUUCUGCAGCAUUACUCUGGCUAGGACUGCCAACCCUGUCCUGACUAGAGGUGAAGAGGUGACCAACCUUACCUUGCUCCAGAUAUUAGAGGAAGCUUGAUCUUUCACCAUCAAUACAAUAUUAGCCGUGGGCUUACUGCCAAAGCAUUUAUUGUGGUCAAGUAUUUUCUGCCUACAUUUAACCUUUUCAGGGUUCAUUUUAAUAAUGAAGGGAUGUUGAAUUUUGACACAUUUUUUCCUGCAUCUUAUAGGAUGGUGUUAUAAGGUUUUUGUUUGUUGUUUGUGCUUUUGUUUUAUGUGAGUAUUCGAUCAGCAUGCACGCCCAUAUGCCACAAGAGAGCCUCAGAACCCAUUGUAGAUGGUUGUGAGCCAUGAUGUAGUUGCUGGGAAUUGAACUCAGGGCCUCUGGAAGAGCAGUCAGUGCUCUUAACCUCUCAGCCAUCUCUCCAGACCCCUGAUUUUAUGUUUUAUACAGGUUCUGUCAAUGCCUUGUAAUGUAUUUGCUGUUCUGAAAACAUUGAUUGUUUGCUUUAUUCAGGAAAUAAAUCACAAUUGAUGAUGAAGGGCAAUGCUUUUAGAGUACUGUUGAGUUUGUUUUAUUAGUGUUUUAUUGGGGAUAUUUAUUCCUGUGUUCAUCCAGGACAUUGCCCUGUAGAGUGUGCAGUCAUUACUGAGCUUUAAUAAUGAGGUGGUAUUCGCUACAUAAAAGGAGAUUUAAAGUAUUCAUCCCUCUUCAAACUUGUGUAAAAAUUGAUGGACAAUUAUAAUGAAUUUCUUUCCUAAUGUUUUAUAUACUAGACAAGCAUGAUUCCUUCCUACAUUCUAAAACUUAUUUGGAUACUCAUAGAUAAAUAUAGUUCUCACACUGUAUCGAAGUUUGGCUUUACAAUAAAAGGAAACCACUACAGAAAACCACAAAUGCACAUAAUGCAGAAUUUAAUGAAUCUUGGGAGCCCAGGCCAGGGUAUACAGGUUCAAUAUUGCUCCUGUACCUAGGACUCAGGGAACAUUACAGAGGCAUGGUGGAAAGAUUGUAAAAACCAGAAUACCAAGAAGUCUUAUGUGAGACUCUAUCUCUUAGAAAUAGCUAUGUAAACAAGACUAGAACACUGACAGUGUCAAUAGACAUGCUAAGACAGAGAGGGAAAAAUCUCAUGGCAUAUACCCUUAGUCAUAGGACUCUCCUACCUCAGAGGAGAAUUAGCCUUUCCCAGGGAUGACUCCCUAAUUAUUUAUUCAAUAUCUAUGCAAGUCCAUAGGAAGUCUUUUGUAGGUGAAGAAUAUUAGUUUAACUCCCCCACCCUCACCCCAGAUUGUGUUAUAGAAACUCCAUCUGCACUUUGAUGGGUUUUAUUAGAGGAAUGAUUAGAAGUAUUUUUGGCUUUUGAUUUGUGAGUUUCCCAUAGAUUUUUGUUAUCAUGAGUCUUACAUGAGAACCCUGUACUUACGACAACUGAUUUCACCUGGAUAAAGGUUCAAUUCGAUCAUCACAACAACUCCACAGCUUUAUUUCCUCCUGUGCAUUUUGUGGUACGGACGUCCGAAUUUAUAUCAUUUUGGUAUAUGUCUUCUAUGACACUUACUUUAUAGUUUUUUUAAAGAAUGUAACUUCAGCUUUUCUGUUAGUGACAACACUAUAAACAAACAUUAUAUUUGUCGAGUAUCCUAAGCAUGGGGCUCUACCAUUAGCUUUGAUGCUUCUGCGAACAUUACAUUAGCAACUGCUGGCUUUGGCUUUGGCUUUAAGAACUCCUAUUGGUAAUUCCUAAAAGGCAUGCCAGUGGUGAUAAAUUUCUUCAGCAUUGUUUUGUCAAAGGAAGGGGUUUGUUCCUUCCCAACUUUGAACCUGCCAUUCUUGCCUCUCCUGGGUUAAAUUGGGUCUUGUCGCGGUGUCUUAUGAUUAAAUAAAGUUGUCUUACAUCUUUAAUCAAUUCUAGAAAUGUUUCAUCCAUCAUUUUAUGUGACAUUACUUGUAUAUCAUAAGAUUUUGUUUUCUUUUUCUGGCUAUUAGACUUACGAUGAAACUUCUUGACCUAUUCUGCAUAAGUCUACAAGCUUAUAGAUAUAGAGAAUAUUUUCUUCACUUAAAUUGCAAAUACAAAGACAAUAUCUAUUUACUAAUCUUGUAUUUGCUUGUGUGUGUGUGUGUGUGUGUGUGUGUGUGUGUGUGUGUCUGAAUAUCUAGGAGAACAAAUACAUCAAUACACAUAAAGAUAUACAUGAAUAUAGGUUAAAUUCUGAGCACUUUCAGCCCUACAAUCUCUUCAUGAGUGUGUUCGCUGUAGUUUGAAUCAUCCAAAUUUAUGUGAAUCACUUUUCAGUUAUAAUAUUUUACAUGAAUAUGUUUAAAUAUUCAUGUUUGAAGAUUUGCCUUUCUCAUUAGAAUUGUUCCUUCAUUCACCCAUUUAAUAUAUAAAUAUAACCAAAAGUCCCCUUUCAAGAUUAUUCUACUUUUUUUAUUUUGUCUAUAGUAGAUUUAUAUUUUUGUCAUCAUAACUUGGACUAUAUCUCAGCCCUUGAAUUCUUUGAUGCAGCUUAAUACUCACUCUUACAGGCCUACAUGCUCACACUUUGCUCAGCAGUGCUCCCUUGUGAGCAGAGCAUUUUUGAUACUUGCCCGGCAUCCCAAUGGCGUCCACAAUCAGGACACAGUAGUAACAGGAGGCUCUGGCUUGCCAGUGGCAGUUGGGUCACUGGCAAUGACUUUCCUUACUCUCUGACUUCAACUGAUCUUUGAGGUGACUUGAUCUUCUUGUGCUCACAGGUCCACAUGGGCCACCCUCCCUAGAUGCAGCAGACUGUGUUUUCCACGCUUCUUUCACCAUCCUGAGGGGUCUACUCCAACCUUUGCUUGGAGAAAAAUGCCAGUCUAUACCCUCAAGUCUUGAUGUCCACUGAUGUCCCAUUCUCCACAAUAAUGUAAUUCUGCCCAUACACUUAGAAGCCCAGAAUGCCUCCGUGUUUUGUGUCUGCUUUUCCUUGCUAGUUUGGUAGAAGCCUUACCUUGUUCUACAGUAGCUGCCUCCUUUGAUGACACUGAUGGGUGUGUGCCUGGAUGUUCUGGACAUGGAAAAAGACGAGCAGCCUGACUGCUAAAGUUCACACAGCUGGGUCCAGGAAAGCUGAGGGAGGUGAUGAGGAGAUAAAGAAUGUAGAAUCACACAUACCGAAAAGCUGGGGUCGGGUAGGGCGUGUCUUCUGAUGGAGAUACACCAGCAGCCUGAAAACUCAGUAUGCUUUUUUUUUCUCUUUUUUUUUUCGGAGCUGGGGACCAAACCCAGGGCCUUGCGCUUGCUAGGCAAGCGCUCUACCACUGAGCUAAAUCCCCAUCCCCCUCAGUAUGUUUUUAAAGCACUAUACACAUGUCCAGCUAAAGGAGGAAGAACAGGGUUCCCUGAUCUCCGUGGGAGGUCUCUAUUUUGUAGUCAUUUGGGAGGAGAAAGCUGUGGUUGGCAGUUUCUACACACUGCUUUUAGCUAUAGGUCGAUUGUUCAAGGGGAAGGCCUUGCCAUCCCCAUGGCCCUGGAGCACUGGGGGCCUUGGCAUGGUCAUGAUCAUAUCAACAAACACACUCAGGAGUUCAUCUCCUCCCACAGGAUGCCUCAAUUCAAAUCUCAGUUUGACCAAACUGCCACUUGUGUGUGAGCUUGUGCAAAUCAAUCUUGAGCUCAACUCAACCUCUCAGCUACAGACCAGAAACAGGUAUUGGUGGCAGGAAUAAAUGGGAUUUUACAUGGAAUGCAGAAAACAUUAGUCUCUGUAGUGCACACUAAUUCUCAUAUUAACAGCAUAAUUGGCCAUAACUGACCCACAGUCUUAGUGAGGAAGUAGGGUGGUGCAACAUAGUCUCAAUGAAAAGGUAGUAAGUGAAAUCACAAAACAAAGUCAUAGAGAAAACAGUUAAGCAGAGUCAUUCCUCCAUGAAUUCCUAAUGCAUGCUAGAAAGCCCCCAAUCUAGGUUAUUUUAAAAUUUAAAGCAUUAUGAAAGGAUUAGAUACUCAUUAAAACUAUCAGUCAACUUUCAAGUUAUCUCUCAGGCAAUAUGGAAUUUCUCCAGUGAGGUGCUAUGGGGGUAACUCCGCACAGCCCUGUCUCCUUGUAACCACAGGGAGGGGACUGUGGCAGCAAGCGAGUUUCACAGCAGGGUCAUGCUUGCUAAGGGUGUCUUGUGUUAAAUGCAUUCUCACCAUGGGAUGAUCUCAAGCUAUGAUAAGUUUACUGCAAUCUUACCCCACCUAAACUCAAGGAACAUUUCCCAUCGCUAAGUGACACAUCCCAUCCCCUGUGACUAACAGUCCAUAAUAAGAUUACAAUCCUUCUUUUAACUGUUAUCAAUAAUCCUGUUCUAGAGUGGUGGACAGGUAACCAGGAUGUUUUGGGUAGCAAUAUUAAAAGCGAUCCGUGCACCGAGGCUUAUGAAACAUACUGACAAAUUAUCUUACCAAGUGUUUUUCACUUUGUAUUUCCACCAGACGCAGCACCAUCACGUGUGACCUUAAUGCAGACAGGUCUAGCUAGCACUAGCUCACUUUGCCAUCGUACAGCUGUAACAACCUGCAUUUUCUGCCCAGUAAAUCUAUGUUGAACUCUGUUAUCCCGCAAGCAAAUUACAUUCCCGUUUUGGUGGAGAGUUGAAUAAAAUCAUCUUCUUUAAAAGGUGCUCUGUUGGACUCCAGGUUUCCACCAUCACAAAUACCUUUACAAAGUCACUGAGGACACUUUAGCUCAUUCUUCCUGAAAGUUCUAACCUGGAACCCAAAAUUACAAAACCUGAUUCCCAGGGGGUGGGGGGGAGAUUACAUGGUGUAAUUUAAUUUUAUUCUUCUGUCAUUUUCAGAGAAUAUGUUCUAUUGGGGGACAAAUUUGGACAUUCAAAACAUUAUAUGAUACAGCACAUAAGCAACUGUGGUGAUUAGCUUUAGUCAGUAUGCUACAAACUAGGGUCACCUGGGAAGAGAGAACCUCAAUUGCAGAUCUACCUCCCUCACAUUAGCUUGUUGGCAUAUCUGUGGCCAUGUUCUUGUCAAAUUGAUAUGAGAGGGCUCUGCCUACUGUUGAAAGUACCACCUCUGGGUGUGGUCCUGGAUUAUACAAGAGAACAAAGAGAACAAGCCAUGAGAAGAAAGUUAGCAGGCAGCACUCCUUCAUGGCUUCUGAAUCGGUUUCUACUCCAGGUUCUUGCCUUGAAUUCCUGCCUAGGUUCCUAGGAAGUGUUAACCAAGUAAAUCCUUCUCUCCCCCAAGUUCCUUUUGGCCAUUUUCUUAUCAGGAUAGAAACAUCACUAGGAUACCAACUUUGAUGGUCCCUCUACCUUCCUUUAAUACACUGUGCAUGCUCUGGUGUUAUACUGUAACAUGCUAAUGCCUGUUUGUUUUGAUGGUCACUACCUACACUUUAAUACACUGUAUUCGUAGGUGUUACAUUGUAACAUGCUAAUGCCAGUUUGGUCAAUGUCAUUGUGCUGAUCAGUUUUGUUUUUGGGGGGUUUUGUUUGUUUGUUUGUCAGCUUGAGGCAAAGGAGAGUGACCUAAGAAUAAGAAAUUAAAUGGAGGAACUGUGUCUUUAGAUUGGCUAUGGGUAAAACUUUCAGCGCAUCAUCUUGGUUACUAAUUGAUGGAGGAGGAGGGCCCAGCUCACUGUGUGAGGAGACAUCACUGGGAAAGUUUUACUGAAUUGUUUUUCUCUAUUCUUCAGCUUGCUUUUCAUUGGAAGAUUUCAAAUCUACUAACUUUUCCUCCAGCCAUGCGGGCUACUAAAACUAUCCUAUUAGUUUUUGUAUGGCAUAAUUCUGGAAUUUGCAUUUAGUUCUUCAGUAUAAUUUCCAUUUUCUGCUAUGAGUCUAAUAUGUUUAUCAUCAUGUAUACAUUUCCAUGUCCCUUUGAACAUACUUAUAACUGCCUUAGGUAGGGUUUCUAUUGCUGUGAGGAAACACCAUUACCGAAAAGCAAGUUCGGAGGAAAGGGUCUAUUUGAUUUACACUUUCAGAUCAUAGUCCAUCACUGAAGGAAGUUGGGGCAGGAACUCUAGCAGUGCUGGAUCCUGGAGUCAGGAGCUGAUGCAUAGCCAUGGAGGGUGCUGCUUACUGGCUUACUCAACCUGCUUUCUUAUAUAACCCAGGACCACCAGCCCUGGGGGAGCACUACCCAUCAGCUAUGUCCUUUCCAUUGAUCACUAAUUGAGAAAAUGCCUUACAGCUGGAUCCCGUGCAGACAUUUCCUCAAUGGUAGAUCCUUCCUCUCUGAUGAUCUUAGCUCAUGUCAAGUUGACACACAAAACCAGCCAGUACAAUAACAUUAAAACUUCAUUUGCCAUGAUGUUCUCAAGAUUUGGUUUGAAUGAUGGUAUCUUUCUUGACGUGGAUUGUGUUUUCUUAUUUCAUAGCACAUUUACCGUGUUUGUUUUAAUCCACUUUUAGACAUAAAAGCAACAUGCAUAGAGGGCCUGAAGUCUACCUACAAUUUUGAAAUUGCUAGGAAGCUUGAUAUUGUUUUACAGACCUCUGAAUCUCUAUUGUUCUGAACUGUUUUUCUCCAUUCUUAGGCUUGCUUAUCAUUAGAAGGUUUCAAAUCCACUAACUUUUAAGACUCAUUUUUGUAGUAUCAAAAAGUUAAUUUAACUAAUCAAACUAAAGUCUGUGUCUGGGUCAUUAAGUCAACACCUAUAAACUCUAUUGAAAUAUGUCAGCUUCCACUUGGAGUGUUUUGGUAUUGUUGCUGCUGGAUGUAGUAGUAGUGGUGGUGGCGGUGAUGAUUAUGUUUGUAGUGAUGGUGGUGAUGGUGGUGAUGGUGGUAGUGGUGGUGGUAGCAAUAGUCUGGUAGAGAUUAUUGUUUUGUUUCUGUGCUUCCAAUAGUCUCCAGCUAUCUGCUGUCGAAAGGGAGUCAAAGGACUUGAGAAGUUUCGAUAUGUUUUAGGACUCCUCUUACAGUAGCAUCUUGCCAUAAUUUAUAUCCCGAUUUCUGGCUGCUUGUUCAGUCUCUAAGACAGUAUCCUGACACUUCAUUAGGCUAUGUUUUUCUACCAUCAGAUCCAUAUUAGGGAAUGUCCUGGACAGUAUACCCCAAACCCUUUAAUCCUGUUGCUUUGAUUGGUCUUUUCUGGAUGUAAUGUACUAUUUCAAAUCUUUUCUUUCCAUUUCCCGAAAGGUUACUCCAUCUCAUGUGGCUGUCUGUCCAUUCUUCUUAAAUUUCUUAAAUUUGAUCAUUGUUAUGACCAUAGGACAGUCAGUCCUACCAAGUCAUGUCACGAUUUCUAGUAACCAGAAACUGCACUGUAUAUUUAGAAGUUUUGUAAUAACAGCCACCGAGAAGCCUGUGAGAUUCAAAUUACUCACGACUUCACAUUCUAACUUUUCUAAACUUUCCAAGAACCACUAAAUCUUGAGAUGAACAACAAUGGAUGUAAUAGCAAAAUCAAAAACAAAACCUAGAGUUAGCUGUCUUAGUUAAGGUCUUACUGCAAUGAACAGUCACCAUGACCAAGGCAACUCUUACAAGGACAACAUUUUACUGGGUCUGGCUUACAGGUUCAGAGCUUCAGUACUUUACCAUCGAGGUGGGAACAUGGCAGUUUCCCAGGCAGACAUGGUGCAGAGGGAACUGAGAGUUCUACAGCUUCAUCCAAAGGAAGCUAAGAGCAUACAGGCUUCCAAGCAGCUAGGAGGAGGGUCUCAAAGUCCAAGCCCACAGUGACACACCUCCUCUUACAAGGACACACACAUAAUAGUGCUGCUCUCUGGGCCAAGUAUAUUCAAUUCACCACAUUAGCAAUAAUUAAAAUCAAUAAAACUGCUUACUCUGAUAUAGUCAGCCUUCCAGUGCCUUCUAUGAGUACCAGAGCAUUUCUAUGUACCCCAUGUAUGUCCUUCACUAUACUGUAAAUCUUUUAUACAUCCCUUGUAUUGUGUAACAUGAAGUAAAUGUUAUGUCAAUCAACUCUUAGUUCUACUGUAACAUUUAUGUAAUAAUGGCUGUAUUGAGUAUGAAUGAUUCGUGCUCUUGAAUACUCCAUUCUCAGUUGAAUCUACAGGUUAGAGAGUUGUCUGCAGUCACAGAAAUGCAGCGUAGUCUGCAGCAGCUAGAAUGUUCCAGCUGGAAUUCACCUUCAGACUUAAUCUCAAUCAUGCAGCAGUGAGAGGCAGGAUCAGGUGAGGCCUUAAGAGGUGAGAUCAUUAGGAGGGGUUACUGUUCCCCCGAGAGCACUGCCUCUCUGAAACUGCGCUGAUUUAGGUGAAAAUGAGGGGAGGUCGCCUUGUGUGCCCAGCCUGUCUGUACACAGCCACUUCCUCUUCCUUUUCUCCACGGGAGUUGAGCCAUAUAAGACCCACAGCAGCAGGAGAGGGGACUCUGGUUCCUGCUUUUGGACCUUGGGAACCAUAAACUAAAGAACUUCUUUUCUUUGCAACUCACCUGUUCUCAGAUAUUCUGUUGCUACAACCAUGCCUAAACCUUAUUUCAUAGAAUUAAAUCCAAUUCCUCAUGAAGGGGAAAAUUAAGUUGGUGAUGUAACUGAAAUGUGAAAUUGGCCCACAUUUCAAAUCACAAUCCCAGAACUUUCUAGAAAGAAGCAAAAUUGUGGAGCUUUUCAUUCAUUCUCUCAUAUAAGCACCUACUGGCCAUGUAUAACUAUUGUCUACUCACAGGUGGUAUUAAAGAACUGAAGUCUUCACUGUAUUUAAUUUAAAGGUUUUGGUUUCAGGCUGCCACACAUGACUUGUGUCCCAUGUGCUCCAUAGCACAGAGGAAAGCAAACAACAGAGAUGUUGAAAUAGUAGAAGUCAUUCUUGACAAAUUAAUUAAUAUUAAUGCAUUUUAUAAACCAAGAAAGCAGAGAGAUCAGAGAUACUAUGAAACCAAAACAGUAUUGUAAAAUCUUUAAAUGCACACACAUGCAUGUACAAAGACACUCAUACAUACACAUACAUAUACACACACUAGCACAUACAGAUAUGCACAUAUACACAUACAUACACACACAAAUACACACACAUACACACAUAUUCAUACAGACACAUACAUACACACAUACAUACACAAACAUGUAUACACACACUCUCAUACACACAUGCAUACACACAUAUACACACACAUAUACAUACAUAUACACAUACACAUACUGACACAUUCAGACACAUACACACGUAUACACACUCACCAUAUACACAUACACACAUGCACACAUAUAUACACAUACACACAGAUACACAUAUACAUAUAUACAUAUACACACAAAUACACACAUAUGCACAUAUAUACACAUACUCACACAUGCUCACACAUUCAGAUACAUACAACAUAUACAUAUACUCAUACAUGUACACAAACAUACAUACACACACAUAAACAUAUACAUGCACAUAUCCAUAAAUAUAAACACUCACACAUACACACACACACAUAUAUGACAUGUGUUUUAGAAUAAAAGACAAUGACAAAAUUGCAAAAUGAGAAAAAUGGAUUUAUUAAUAGACUGAACACUUCCCCACAGAGGCAGUGCAGUAACUUAUUUCCCCAAAUCAAGGAAAACACUCACCUAAAUUGUAACUUAUGUGUAUGGUGGACAUGCAAAUAAGGUGGAGUUGCAUUUUGCGUAGAAGGUAGCAUUUCAGCUCAAGAGAAAACCAAGGAAAUUGAAAGCGUUCCAAGGAUUUUCUUCACACCCUGCCACAAAGUAAAGAGUGGUACCAACUCUCACUAACUUCCUCCCAAGCUGGAAUGGAUCAUGGCUUCUGAGUCAAUAUCCACUUAUAGACACUAAGCACAGUGAGUUCAUUUCUUGGAUCUUGUGUCAGAUUUUCCUUCAAAGACAGUUGUGCAGGCUCAUGGAGAGCCUGAGGCUACUGGAAAAACCAUGAAGACACCAGACAUUCCUUGUCAAUCCAUUAUGAACUAAGUUAGAUAGGGACUGGCCUCAAACUAUGUUUCCUUGAAAUGCAAAUUCACAGAACUCAUAUAGAUGAAUUCCAAAAACUCAUAAGUAAAUACAGAAUUCUAGUAUAACGUAUUCAGAGAAAUUAUAGAAAUGAUAGAAAUCAAUGGGUAGCCGGAGAAAUAACUCAUGAAAGUUCUUGUCUUGCUAGCAUGAGGACCUGAGUUGACCACCUAGUACCCACAUCAGAGAACUCAGGAAGACAGUGUGGGCAUCACCCUAGGGCUAGAGGAGUGGAGGAUUUGGAGGUUCAUUGGCCAGUGAACCUGAGCUCCAGAUCUCAGUUGAGAGAUCUUGUCUCAAAAUACAAUUUCUGAGGAACAACACUUGGUGCUGCCCCAGUUUACCCACACUCUUGCUCAAGAAGGGGCACAAGCACACACACACACACACACACACACACACACACACACACUCACAUGGGGGGAGAUCAAACUCUGGUUCUAAUUAUUUCUAUUUCAGUUGCACAAAAUAAAUCAAAACUACCUUUUUCCUUUGACCUCACCAAAUUACGGCAUCUUAAGCUAUCUUUGGAAUCACAAGGAAAACAGCAUAAGAAAGCUAGAGCAUCCCCGAGCAUAAACAAUUACUGUCGUUCGGAGAGACCGGCCAGCUGAAAGCAUGUCCUAAUUAAGGUGUCAACACAAAUUGUCUGCCUUUGUCUAGGUCUAGAGUGCACCUAAUCUGAUAUGUUUCCCCUGUCUGUAUGUUUCUAUUUUUUUUUAAAAUGUGUGUGUGCAAAAUGGAACAAUCAGACUUACCUGACUGAUCCGGUUACUUCCCAGCGAAGGCGAAAACAAACAAAAGCAUUCAUUAGCAUCAGGCACUUGGAGAAUCCCUGAGUCAUACCAGCUCCAAAUGUGUCAGAGAGGGGAAGAAAACACAACUUCAAGCUUCAUUCUAUUAAACCUCUUCUAAAUAGUAUUCUGUGGUGUUUCGACUCCCGAAAACUAUCCUAGACGGGCCAGGCUAGUCUAGUACUCGUCUUUCUCUGACUUAACUUAUCCGUUUGACCUUCCAUCAUGGAACCAGUAGAGGUGACACCAGGAAUGUGCCUGGUACUUAGCACAGCACUUAGGGAGCCAUCAUUGCUGUAGACACACUUACCUACUCUUCACGGAGGGCGCCUUUUGCCUCUUAAAUUGAACUCUGGUGUGGUGGCAUUCUUAUGCUGCCUGCGACGGUGGGCGCUCCCUGCUGCUUGAUAAGGAGACUUGUGUUUUCAUUCCAGGGUGGGAUUUUUUUUUCAUUUUGAAUUAUUGUUUGGUUUGCCUCCCAUACAGUUCCAUUUUGAGCCACCAGUGCAUGCAAAUUGCCUUAUUUAUUACCCGAAGAUCAGGGUCCUGUGGUUUGUGUGUUUGCUCAGUUCCUCGACGUUAUUAGCUUAUCCUGGUAAAGAGACUAUGGGUGACUCUCGACUGCCUUUUGAGGCUUCUCAUUUGUCUUUGUGCUUUGCUGGUACUCCCUGUUAUCUUACCACUUGCCAUAUCUCAAACAUGGUGCUUCCAUUUCUCCACCAGAAUCUGAGAACUGGUAUGUGUAGAAAAUUGCCAUUCCCUGAUUGCCAGCCUUUCUCCUACCAGCAUUCUGCAAGGUGGGUCUUAGUCUCCAGUCAGAGCUCAGUGAGUUGCUGGGGAGACCCUCGGGAAUCCGGAGCUGUCUCUCUAAUUUCGUUCUGGUUGACGACUUCCUGCAAGAUGAUGUUUGUCUCUGAAAUGUGUCAAUUCAUGUACAACUGUGGAGAGAUAAUGUAUGACCUGAAAGAAGACACAUCAAGCCACAACAGGAUCAUGAAGGAAAUCUGGGGAGAUCUCAACAGCUUCGUGACAGUCUUAAUCUUUGGUAUAAUUGUCUAAAUUGAUGGAACAUCUUUUAUUAACUGAUGGAGGUGCAUCCUGCCCUUUCAGAAGUCAAAUAAACAGUUUGAAUUUCCUGCUGGUGAAGGGGCCCUGGUGAUGAUUUGAAUGCCUGCAGCUUUCUAUCCCUGUGACCAGACCAGACAUGUUGCUAUCAUCUGCAUCCUCACAGGAGGGACAAGCCCUCACCUGCAUAUAGACAUCAACCCACAGGAAACAUCUCAGGAGAGGAGUUAGCAGGACCAAAUCAGAUCUACAUGCAAGACUGGAUCAGAAUGCAAAGCUCCUGCUGGCUCUGCCUCUCAUUCCCACCUACAUUUUACCUCAUGGUGGCUCCCAUGUUGGUCAUUGUGGUUGGUCCAUCCAAAAGAAUCUAGAAUAUUCAGAAGCACUCUAAUUUAGUACUGUGUGUUCACUACUGUCAGAGAUCUGGGAAUGCCAGUCCUUAGCUUACCUUGGUGGCAAAUGUCUCCAGUGUGUCUGGUCGCUAUGCUUCAUGUCUCUGUCUGGAGUAUAGGCUCAGAUUUAAGGAGUUUAAGAUCACAUCCUGGGUUUCUACGCUUUCAUUUUGUGCCCUGGAAAACUCUCCCCUUGACAUUGCAGGAAGUGAAGAGAGAUGGAGGAGCAGUCCGCGGCCAAGCCUACUGUGUGUUUGGUGCUCUUUCUUCGUUCUUUGUUCUAUGAAGCCCCACAGCAUUCUGUAAUGGUUCUGGGGGUUCUGGGAGCCUCCUUAAGUAUUAGUGGUCUGGUGGGGAGAGUUUCUCCCAAGCCUACUCUAUCUGUGAAUGGUGGCCAGCACUUCUCUCUGCAAUUCUGAGGAAAGGAAGAGUAAAUUAAGACUGUCCCCCAAACCUACACAAUUCCACAAGAAGUACCUAAGCAGACAAGAAGGAAUAUUAAAACACUAUAAAUGAUUGCAUGUAGAGAGUUGAGGGAAGUUGAUCACUUAUUCAUCCUUUGUCCAAGUCAAAGAGUUUCUUUGGGAGAGAGGCUUCUGCCCACUGAUUAAUAAUCAACAUUUGGAAGGAAGCACGCUGUCUGAUUGACAACUCCUCAAAGGGGCUUCAUUGUAACUCAGCUCAGCUCACCUGUAGCAAAUGACUUUCUUCAAAUCAUCUUUGACUCCUGGAAGUACUGAUCUUUCCUUCUCCUAUGGACACACACACACACACACACACACACACACACACACAAUUGCAAGGCUCUCACAUCAAAAGAGAUAAAAAGUAGUUUAUUCUGAAGCCAAAUGUAUCUGAUCAUGGCUGAGGAAACACAGAUCUAAGUUAUGCCAGGCUCCAUGUCCACACUUGGAUGCUGCUUCAUGGAGUUUCAUAGUAACCAAGCAAAGAAUGUCAUAAAUUAAGGCAAUCCAGGACUCGAGCCUAGGGAACCCAUAUUUUAGGUAAGUCUUCCUAUCUUAGUAAACCUAAUGAAGAUGAUCCCUCACAGUCAACCCCAGGGAUUAAUCUAAUCUAGAUAAUCCCUCAAGGGAGUGCCUAUAGGCUCCCAGUUAAUCCCAUCACUUAUCAAGUUGGUUGUCCAUAUGAAGUAUCACACACACACACACACACACACACACACACACACAGAGAGAGAGAGAGAGAGAGAGAGAGAGAGAGCUCUCAGAUCCUAGGGCAAAGCAUAUAAUUGCAGUCUAGCUUGGAGGAAGAACAAAUUUAGGUUCCAUCAGACGAUUUGCAUGUGCAAACACGCUAUGCCCACUGAGAAGUAAGGAGGAAGAAGAUGGGAAGAAACAAAGAUAAAGGAAUAAGGCAGAAAUAGAACGAUGGCGGAGGCAUUUCAGAAAGUAUUUCCAUUGGAAAGUCUAGUUUGUGAGUCCAGGAUGUUAAGGGGAAUGAGGUCAAUUGGUAGGCCUACCUAGGGUCCUCUAAAAGCAGAGUCUGGAGCUGUGGAGGCAGUAAAUGCAGUUAACAUAGGCUGCAUUUAUGAGCAUGAGAAAAAAAUGUAGGAUAUGAGUUCAAAUCCACUAAGCCCCUGGAUAAGUUUAUGUAUACUACAUUUUAGAAUCAUCUGUCUCCUCUAGUCUUUCUUCUUCAUAUUGUUAAUGUCUGUUCUCUCAGUACUGUGUAAUUACAUCGUUUCCUGAAUAGCAUGUAUCUUAAAUACCUAAACUGAGAUCAUCUUGAACAGUACUAACCAUUGCCUCAAUGAUAUAGUGGCCUUAAUGUCAUUGUCCCAUGCUAUAAUAUCUGACCUCAUCCAGACUAGGUAGCAUGUGAGAAAAUUAUUCUCCAAGUCUGCUCUUUUACUUAACCUGCAAGGACUGGUGAUGAGACAUCAAAAACCAGUAACAUAAAUAUUCAUCUGAAUCCUCUGAAGGGCUGUGGAGCCCCAUCUCCAGGAUUCCCAGUGCCUUGGAUGCACAGUGCAACAUGAUAACUGAAUUUUCUAACAAGGUUCUUAGUGGUGCUGAUGUGGAUGCUCUGGUCCAUACAUGCAGGGCCUGGGAAGAGAUGGGCAGCGGUGGAAUUAAGAGUCCAUAAAAGGAAUGAAAGACAAGUAAGUCAAGUGUCCUGAGAAGCCUUCAAGCAAAAUGAUCUUGUUUGCUAAAAUCACAAAAGAGCCAGAAACUUAACAAGUCUCCAAUCACCCACUGUGCUGUGACCAACUGUCUUAGCAAGGGACAAGAGUAAGGUGGCAGCAUAAUAGAAGAGAUUCCAUUUUAUAUGAACAAGAACAGCCUGUUGUCAAGUAAUCAGAUUAGAUCAGCAUGGCAUUGCAAUUUUGUUGUUGCUGUUGCUGUUUUUGUUGUUGCUGUUGAUAUUGUUGUUGUCAUUGUUGUUACUGUUUGUUGCUGUUGCUAAUGAUGUCAUUGAUGCUAUUGCUGUUGUUGAUGCUGUUGUUACUGUUGCUGACGUUAUUGCUGUUGUUGCUGUUGGUUUUGUUGUUGUUGUUUUUGAUGAUGUUGCUGCUGUUGUUGCUGCUGUGGAUGUUGUUGUCAUUGUUGCUGUCUAACUGUGGCACAACAUGAGAAUCUUUGACCUCAUAACUUUAAAAAGCCAACAACAUGGAAAGCAACGGAGGAAGAGAGCCUAAGGACAGAAACCAUCUUAAAUGACAAAUGUGUUCAAACAGAGAUAUCACAAUGAAUCUUCGUCAACACAAAUUCUUCCUAAAUUGUGCUGUCACCCUAAAUUGGGAUGAACCUUGCUCCAUGCAGGACAGGCUGGAGAGAUGAACCAGGGACGACAAACUGUAGAGGACCUGGGAAUGAGAACCAUAGAACUGUCUACACCAAGUGUUCUAAACAAUUGAUGAAUUAUCUUGAUCUUUUGAGGGUCAGGUUCCUUUCCUUGUGUGUAAGCUAGAAUAAUAAUAUCAGCACACUAGGAUGUCACGAAGAUCCAAAAAGAUAAUAAAAGACAAGUACCUUUAAGGACUGUAAAGUGAAAAGAGAGCUGGUUUUGGCUGAGCAGCAGCAAAAAGAACAGAUCACCCAGGCACUUCUGGGAUUAAGCUGGAAGGUGGUAGAGAGUAGAUCCCAGGCUGAAGUUUAAUAUCAGUACAAGGAUGAUUGUGUUUGGAGCUUUGGUGAUAGCAGUUCAGUUCAGUUCACGGAAGACUCAGUGUUACAGUCCUCAGAGCAAGAUCCUUCUCUUAUCUCUUUUACCUCUGUUCUCUAACCCAAAAGUUCUGGUGAAUGUCUUUGAUUGAUAGGGAUCUUUGCCACAGAGAAUGUAGUUGAAGAUCUGCUUGUGACACUGUGCUGUGGCUCUGUUUAACCUCGGUUUUCACUCCACCCAUUAACCAACAUGAUCCCCCAUGACCGUUCUACCCGUAACUGUUUCUAACUAGAUUCUUGGCAUCUGGUAAUAAAGAUUUUGGUGUUUUUUUUUUAAUUAAAGACAAAAACCAAACAAAUACCAAAGACAAAGACUGGUUAUUUUUCAUACCAUUUCAUUGAAAAGAAGCAGUUUCUCAAGAGAACACUAGACAAGAAUAGGAUUUAGGUUACAAGGUGUAGUUUUUGUUUGGUGGGUUGGUUUGUGUUCAUUUGUGUUGCAUACAUCGCAGAAAACUCCACCCAUUCCUCACAUGUAUGGAGAUCAAAGCCGUACCCUGAUAUGCAAAUGGGAGGAGAGAAAAGUUGGCAAAAUUCUUUCCUAAUUCCAAACAGAAACCAUUUAGAGCUGGAUUCAUGGGUUCAAAUGGAACCUAUGCAGUUACUCGUGGCCCUGGGCUUCCAAAGAUCUUGUACACUCCUAACUCUCUAUAUUCAUUGUUUUGAAUAUUGUUCUUUAUUACUUAGGUAUGCAAAGUAUUUUCAUUUUAUACUGGGCCCAGGUCUCCAGGUUGGACAAUGGCUUUCUAAUACACUCUCUACCACUGAUCACAAUAGUAGUCUCCCAGAGCAGAUAAACAGAUGAGGACAGCUAUAGUUUACUACAGCGAUACACACAGAGAAGACUGGUCCCAAGGCCCUUCACUGGUUAAUCUCUGGCUUGGAACACAGGUUUAGUGUAAGUAGUCUGUUUUCAAUAGUGAACAGUGUUGUAGCUGAAUGGCCAUGGCCCUACACCAUUGACCUAGACCUCUCAAUCUCUUAACGGCACCAGUUUGUAAACUUGGGUAAGAGCAUGUGGCUAUGCCUCAGGGCUUUUAUCAACAUCUUAUUAGGUAGUGUGUAGGAAGGCCCUCCUGCUUUCUGUACAAACAUAAAAGAAGUAGAUUUUGUCUCAUUUUUAUUCUUAGAAGGAGGGUAUUCUGUUGUUGUUAAAUAUUUACAUAUGUUUGGCAUCAAACCUAUGUAAAUUUACAUAUGACUGGCAUCAAAAUAUUGGGUUCACAUGAUCCUCCUACCUCAGCCUGUUACUGUACCUGUACCUGUGGCUACAACUGUGUACACAGUUGCUAGGGUACAGGUUUGUACUACACCUCAUUCUAAGUCACAUUUUCUGCCAGGAUAUUAACCCUUCCUAAUCUGACCUCGUGUUAUUUGCAAACGCCAACAGGAAAUGUCUCUGGGAAGCUUCUAGAGCAUACAUUAGAACAAGGAGGAAGUAUUUGAAUUAUAUGCCCCUUUUUGCCCUUUCAAAAACCAAUCCUUUUGUGAUAAAAUUAGCAACACUUUGAGAAAAAUAAGAGCCGGUCCCUUCUGCCAGACUCUACACCCUCAGUGUUGAGUGCAAACCAACAACAGAGGUUACAUGGAUCAUGAAUUCCAUACCAAUAUACAUACCUCUUACACACACACACACAGUUGGUCUCAGACAUUGGGGUUGAGGGGCUCAUAUGUGUCAGCUCAG